CCUACGGGUGGCAGCAGUGGGGAAUUUUGCGCAAUGCUCGUAAGAGUGACGCAGCGACGCCGCGUGAAUGACGAAGGCCUUCGGGUCGUAAAGUUCUUUCGACAGGGAAGAAAAUGCCUAUAAGUAACUGUGUAUGUAUUGACGGUACCUGUAUAAGCAGCCCCGGCUAACUCCGUGCCAGCAGCCGCGGUAAUACGGAGGGGGCGAGCGUUGUUCGGAGUGACUGGGCGUAAAGAGCACGUAGGCGGUGUUGUAAGUCAUUAGUCAAAGACUAGAGCUCAACUUUAGUAAGGCUAGUGAUACUAUAAUACUAGAGUAUCAGAGAGGAUUGCAGAAUUCCAGGUGUAGGAGUGAAAUCCGUAGAUAUCUGGAGGAACAUCAGUGGCGAAGGCGACUAUCUGGCACAUAACUGACGCUGAGGAGCGAAAGCGUGGGUAGCAAACAGGAUUAGAUACCCCUGUAGUC
rnacentral:rRNA from 1 species